GGGGCUGAGCGGCAGCAGGAGGAUUUCGCUGAUAGGCUGCGCCCUCCGUCAAACACCGCUGCCGCCCUGUCCGCGCCGCGAGCGGAGGAGUAGCCGAGGCUUCCGCUCUGGGCUCGGCGCCCUGGCUGCGUCCGUGCUUGUCUCUGGGAUCCAGGUUGCUUGAACGAUAGAGUCAGUCCUGGAUGUUUGCAGCCUUUUGCUUCAGCUGCCAGAGAAGAAAAAAGGUGGACACCGACUUGCAGCAGUUGCUUCCUGUGAAAGGGAAGAAAUAUCGGAUACUGUUCUGGGAUAAUUUGUGCGUGCUUUGUCCUGAAAAGGCCUCUGAAACAAGCAGUAGACAUCGGGGAAGAUAAUUGAGGAAAUCGUGAGGUUUUUUCUUCUAGCAGUGUAGAGCACAUCACCCUUGGAUUCUUUUGUCCGCAUGGCAUGGAUACAUAGCUAAAUUUAUGAAGUUCUGAAUACUUCAGCUGCCAAAAUAAACUGCUUUCGUCUUUUUACAUAUUGUUUUUCUUCUCGGCAACAUUCUUUCUGAAUCGGAGGUUUAACCAGUCUUGUUAACUGGCUCCAGGUUAAAUGUGGCCUGAGUCACUGUGGGGACAUUGCUGAAAAGUUUCAUGGCAGAUUUUUUUCCCCCCUUUUUUCAUUUUUUAGAUUUUCUGACAUAGUCUUCUCUCAUUUUGCAGUGAGAGCUAUUUUAUAAAUGAAGAAUUUAAUAGAUGUUUGUUUAUACUUUUUUCUUUUGUAUUUUAUUUACUGUUUUUGUUGAAGAAUGUUGUUGCCCAUAAGCAGUAUGGAGGUAUCCAGAUAACUGUUUAUAAAUGCCUCUGGCUGCCGGAAGGUAGGAAAUGCUCUUCAGUUCAUAUGUGAAAUUUGGGUUUUUGACAUCACAGUUUGUGGAGUAAAACCUGUGUUUAUUUCACUUGGAGCUGAUGCUGCAUAUACUGGUAUCUGCAUUGAAUAGACAAGAGAAGAAACUGUCAGAGAAAAUAAAAGGUUUUUGAGACAGACAUUGGCAGACUUUGUAAAUAGACUUGCAGAAUCUAUAAGCGAGAAGGAUGGGUAGCUGAUUUCUGUGAGGUCAAAUCUAUGUCAGACUGCCACGAAUGUAGUAUCAACAGGAACUCGGGGUAUUAUCUCAAGGAAAACAAACUGGAAAAAUAUAAAUCACCCUGUACUAGCACCUUGUGCGGUCCUCUUGGAUUAGGUUUGCAUUCAACAGAACUGCUGCUGCAGAAUGCUGAAAGAAAAUUAAGAUGGACAGAGCAACUUAAUUCAAAAGGACUUGCCAUGAGGUGCUAAGCCUUUUUUCAUUGAUUCGGAGAGACUGGACCUAAAUGGCGCAGCAUGACUUUGCUCCAGCCUGGCUUAAUUUUCCUACUCCACCAUCAUCAACAAAGGUCUACCACUUAUGCUCCUUUGCAGUCAUCACUGAAUUUUGAGAAACAUUCUGAAAAUUUUUCGUGGACAGAGAAUCGUUAUGAAGCAAAUCGCAGAAGACACAAUUCUUCAGAAGGGUUUGAUCCUAGCACUGGAAGGCCAAAUGGAGGGCAUUUUGGGCGAAAAGAGAGGAAUGGUUGGCGUUCACAAGGCAGAAGUGGUCCAGAAAAUAUAAACCAGCGUGGAGGGUACCAUGGUGGAGGCUCCCGAAGUCGUAGCAGCACCUUCCAUUGUGGAAAAGGCCAGGGACUGCGUGAAAACAGUGUACUUGAUAAUGAAACCCGCAAAAAGGAAGACAAAGAAGUACCCAACCAGUUUGAGGCUGAGGAUUUUCCAUCUUUAAAUCCUGAAUAUGAGAGGGAACCAAAUCAGAAUAAAUCUCUAGCUGCAGGUGUGUGGGAGUACCCUUUAAAUCCUAAAUCUAGAUCUCAGAGAAUGCUGGUUAUUAAAAAAGGCAGUACAAAAGAGCUGCGGAUAUCUGGAUUCCCAGUAGUGGGAAGUGUUCACUCACAACCAGUAAGGAAUGGAACUAGCACGAGUGUUUAUAAAGGAUUAGUCCCCAAACCUGUCACUCCACCUGCAAAGCUCACACAGUGGAAAAGCCAAGCAAAAGAAAAUAAACUUGGGAAUGCAUUUCCUCAUGAAUCUGCAUAUGGUGUUGGCUGUUUCAGUCCUUUCAAAUCAACUGUCAAGGCAUUUGGUGUAACACAGAAUUCAGUGGCAGAGUGUAAUCGGUCAAAUUCUUCAUCCCCUGUUGAUAAAUCUGGUCAGCUUCGUUUAACAAAAUUGACAAGAAUGCGGACUGAUAAGAAAAGUGAAUUUUUGAAAACACUGAGAAGAGAUAGAGUGAAAGAAGAACAUGAAGAUGAGAAUCAUGAUGGGCAAGAGAAGGAUGAUGAGUCCUUCAGCUUUCAUAACAGCAACAGUCCUCAUCGUGAGAGAGAUAUAAACCGAAACUUUGAAAAUGAGAUUCUGCAGGAGAAUGGCAAUGCUUCAAUUACACCUCAGCAGAUCAUUCAGUCUUCAGCUUUCCCUCAGGCAAAUGUUCUUUCAAGCUCACUUGAGGCAGAGCAUAGGUUGUUAAGGGAGAUGGGCUGGCAGGAAGACAGUGAAAAUGAUGAAACAUGUGCUCCACUAACUGAGGAUGAGAUGAGGGAGUUUCAAGUCAUUAGUGAACAGUUACAAAAAAAUGGCCUCCGGAAAAACGGCAUUUUGAAAAAUGGCCUCAUCUGCAAUUUUAAAUUUAGCCCCUGGAAAAACAGCACUUUCAAACCUGCUCUGGAGAAUGAGGAUUCUGAGACAAGCAGCAGUGAUACAUCAGAUGAUGAUGAUGUGUGAAGACUUCUGUAACGCCUGUAGAAGACCAUUUGUUCUCAUGAAGAUUUGGGGAUGUUUUGUCCAAAAACAAAAAUUGUAAUUUAUGUAGUAACAUGCCCACUACAGGAAGAAUAAUGGGACUGUUCUGAAGGAAGCAAGGAAUGUUUUGUUGGGUGUGUUGAAAAUCACUAUAAUUUCUCUGUAAACGAAUGUUGUAGAAUGAGGCCUUGUGUUGACCCAGCGUUGACUUUCAUCACUGAAGCAUUUCUGACUAGCAAUGUGGCAAUAUUACAAAUCAGACUUUCUCACUUAAUAAAAGCAAAGAAUUGUAUAAUGUCUUGCAAAGCUUCUGUCUUAAAAUGUCUAAGGAAAAAAAGGGCAGCUUGACACAGUGUUUUGCUCGCCAAGUAAUUUUUUUUUUCUUACAGUGGAAAUCAAUGAGUCCACUUCGUACACAAAAAGGGCAAUGUAGCAUGUUGGCUAAAAUGAGCAAAGUGCACUAAAACUCUUUUCCUUAACUGAGUUGUUGAACUGUUCUACAAAUAACUGCUCUUUAGCCGUUUGUUGUGUUGUCGUUGUUAUUAAUGGCAAAAGACCCUGAUGUUACAGUUCCAAAUUUCUAGAAUUAACAUCUAAAUUGAAAGCUUUAAGAGGUAUAGCAAGACCCUUAUUCUCACAGUGACUUGUGGGAAAAUAAGGAGUUUGAUUUUACUAUUCAACACAUGGAAAAAUCAUUACACUGACUGGAUUUGUCCACUACAUGGGAAAUAAACUGAUCUACAGAGUAUUGUCUCAGUGCAUAGCAUCACGGGUAUUGUUUUUAAAACUGCUAUGUUUGUUUGCUUUUAUAUUACAUGUACUCUGGCAGCAAUGCAGUUGUGCAUUUCAGUGCAAGGUAAAAGUACUUUCAUCACCAGAUCUUGCUUUUAUAGGAGCAGAAGUAUAUGUGUGCAAUAACCACCUUUUUUGCUUACUCAAUGUCAGAUUUUUUCUUUAUGAUCUCGCAUUUAAAAACCAGUAUUGUAUUAUUGAUAGUUUUAUUUGGUUUAUUUUAAUUCUUUAAAUGUUCUCCACAGUUGUACAAGCUGUGUAGCAUUAAUUCAUAAGCAUAACUGCUCUUGGGGAUGUCACAUACGUUUAUAAUAUAGCACAUAUGUAUAUAUAGACACUUCCCUGUCAAGAUGUUUUUGAAUUCUACUACUUGUUAUAGCAUAUUAUUUGCAGUUCAGAACUUGAAAACAAAAAUAUUUAUAAAGUUGAGAUUCUGUCCAUAUUUCUUUAGGAAAAUGCUUUUUUAUAAGGUGGCAUCAAUUUUGGGCCGAAGUUGGUAUGUUUCUCUUUUUUAUUUAUUGUUAAUUUAAAUAGAUAUUUCUUUUCAAGAGGUCAGUUUUUGUAUUAGAAGAGCUUGCAAAUGUUGAUGUAGUUAAUUUUGACAUGGUGUAUUGAAAUACUUAAUUUCUAAUCUCAAGAGGAUAAAAAUGUUUCUUUUUUAAAAAGAAAACUGCCAUAUCUGUAAUCAUGUUUUUCUUACCUGCAUGCCUUAAACACCUUUUUCCUUUCCUUCUCCUGAAUUUUUUUUACUAACUUUGACACAUGGGUAUAGUUUGUUCACUUUUUGGUUUUCACAUACUAUAAACAGGAUCUUCUGCCUAUCUUAAUUAUAUAGUGAUAUGUGGAUGCACUGUUUUAAUAGUAAGUGAAAAUGUUUUUUCCUUGGUAUUUCUCAAAGUGGGGUGUUCUUUAUUCAGUUUAGUAAUAAAUGUCACCUCAGUAAUUAAUUUUCUGAGAAGUUAUGUAAUUUUAGAAGAGCUGUGUUAAAAUUGUAUAGAUAAUUUUACAAGUUUCAGUUGAGAAAAUUCUCUAGAGGAAGUAGGAGGACUAGUCAUACUUGGUACUUCUUUGCUAAGUUACAUGGUGAAACUGGUAAUGGAAGCACUGAUUAUAAUGAGUGGUGGGCAAAGCAGGUAGCAGGAAUUGGGCAGUGGUUUUGCUUUGUAGAGUGAAACACUUUCAUAACCUUCGUAAGUUUUCUGUGUGUGGUUUCUCUUCUUGUGUCUGCUGAUACUUGUGGAUUAGUUUCUGGUCGAUUGUACCAGUUCAGAGACCCCUCAGAAAUCUGUGUAGCCCCUGGCUUAAGUGAUCAUCUGCCUGCUCUGUUCCUUCUGUUCACCCUUCAUGGCAGUGUUGGAAUGGGUGAGAUUUCAUAUUUCCACUGAGAAACUGGAUUCUCUUAUGUUAUAUUUGCUUAUGACAAGCUGAGGAGAGUACCUGUCAUCUUCUGUGUCCCCUUAAGAAACUCUUAGUCACUUAUUGUGGGAACUCUUUUAAUUUUCUAUUUUCCUGGGAAAUGUCACUCAAAACAAUGUUUGGUUUUUGUAGUAUACUUCCAUAAAAUGUAUGAAAGCAUUUUAGUGUAUGGUUCCUCUUCCUUUUUUUCAGUGCUUGAUGAUGUAGAGAAGAAUGAAAUUGGAUUCUCUAAUAUUUAACAGUGCAACUUCAUCCAUCUUUGACUUGUUACUUUCCCUGGGCAACUUAAGUAGUGCAUUGGCCUUUUUGUUCUUUCAUACAUAAACCAUGGUCCAUUCCCAGAAUAAGUCCUCUCUUGUUUUUCUGCUUGAGCAGGUGUCUGUGUUAAAGGAUUCACAAGUUGGUAACUCAGCUUGACCAUUUCCUUCAUGGUCUAGUAAGUUAUGUAGUAACUUCGGAGAUACUUUGUCAGUGCUGGGCUGACAGAGCUUGACUUCAGUGGCGGUAAUCACAGGUGGCUGCAUGCAAACAUGAUUUGAGGUCCCUACCAUUUAUCUUCAUCUUCCUGGCUUUAUUGGUGGAGAACCAUGUAUUCCUGGUUCCCUGUUCCAGCUCUCUUCAAAAUCAAAUAGCAGUGAUCAGUCACUUACUGGUUUUUCUGAUCUGCUGUUGAUGGAGAAUGUAAAUGUAUUCUCUUGCCUGCUGCUGGCAUGGAGGGUGCCUGAGUUUAUGGUGGGGAGCUGGAGAUCCUUUACCUCAUCCAGAAAGACCAGAGGCCUCCCUCACUGGCUUAUACAGGCCUUUCUCUCUCUUAAGGUGUGAGAUAAGCUAGUUGUCUUUGUUGAAAAGAAUGUUAAAACUACAUUAAAGUUGUCCACUGAUUCAUGUUGGACCCUGUCAAGAGUCUGAAGAAGAUUUUAAUGGUCAUACCAAGUCUUUGAGAAAUGUCACCAUGUGUGAAGGAAAUUAAUUUUUAUUCUCCUAUGCAGUUGCCUGUGGGGGAAAAUCAUCUGCUUGGUUUCAGAUGGGACUUCAACUUUAGCGUUUCUUUUUAAAAGAAUAUCUAUUUUUCAGUAAAUGCAUUUAAACUAUUGGCUGCUAGAAACUGGAAGCAGAGUUUAGUCGAGGAUGCCUUUGUUUAUCCAUUUGCAGUUUGCUGCUAGGCAGCAGCUGAGGUAAUUUACUCAGCUGCAGGGAACUUUUGAUCUGAUUCAGGAUUAUUGCACUUGAGCACCAAGGGUUACUGGCUCAUUAGGAUAAUAAAUGUGCUGACUAGCUGGUCGUCUUUCCUCAUGCUGUUGUUCUUGGUCGUCAGUGAGUUUUACUGCAAACUGAAUGAGGUUCGUUUUGUAGCCUGGAUCACUCUGCAGCCUUCCUUAGAGGUACCUGGAAAUGCAUUUGCUAAACCAGCACUGGCAGUGACCUGCAAAGCAGUCUGGCUCUGGAUGGGCCACAGGGGUAGUGUCAAAAAUUCUCCUCUCUCAGGAGGUUUGCACUUCCUUGAGAGAUUCGUAAACAAAUUCUGAGGUCUGUCUCUCUUACUGGAUUGCGAUCUGGGAGAGAUCUUCAGACUGAGGAAGAACUCAUUCCUUCAGCCAGUGGGUCAGUGGAGCUUACUGCUGAGUUCAGUGUCUACCACAGUCUGCUUCCAUCGCAGUCCCUUGCGCAGAUCAGGUCAUAAUGGAUGUGGGAGGUCUCACAGGGCCUGUAGCAGCAUGCGUUCCUUAAUUUCCUGAGAAGAUACCUGACAGUAAGCUUGCUAUGUAGACUUCAUUCUUCUUGGAUAUUCCUAGUAUGCAGCUAUUUAUUUCCCUGGUGCUAGCAUGAUUUCCAUAGAGAAAUGCCAUUCUAUACCUGCAGAACAAGUUCUCAUUUAGUUUUGUCUUCUGUGCAGGUGAAAGAUGCAGCUUUGAAGUGAAAGAGUAUUUUUGGUAACAAUUCAUGCUGUUUGUAAGGAUAAUGAAAAUGAGAGCUGUCUGAAAUGAGCUGAUCUGUAAGGAAUUGACAUACACUAUAAGCAGCCUGCUGAGUCAAGCCACUGUUUAUGCAAAGUUUCAUUACCAGAAGCUGAAAACACUACUUUAUGCAUUGAAAGGCAUUGUUUCGAAAAGAAGCUCAUGUAUUGAUGCAUUACACAGAUAUUUUCCUAAAUCUUACAUGAACAUUUAUUUUUCUUUGCUUCAGUUUUUUAUUUUUAUUGUCCACCUCCAAAGUGGGCAUGCACAAAUAAUCUUUGUACAGAAUAAAUACAUCUUCAUAAUUGAGAUAAAGGAAUUAGUUAUUCUGAAAAUGCAAUUUGUAAGUAUCUUAAUGUUCCAGAUAAAUUAUAACUAGUAUCAUUUGAUUUUUUUUAGUCAUGUUAUAAACUGCUGAAAAACAAGCACAUUGUUUUACAUGAAACUGGUAGUACUGGUUGUGGUUAUAGUUACCUUAUGUUUCCACUGGAAGAAUCUGUUCCUGCUCAUUUACUGCUGAAUAUACUGUGGAACCAGUUUUCCCUGGCUGACCAAGCCCCUCAGCAUGCAUCUGCAGGCUGGCAGAGCUCAGCAGAUACAAUUGUGGAGAACUCAGUGGCAAAAGAGGGGAAAAAUUUUAAGUGAUGAGGGAAAUGGGAGCAAACAGUCUCAUAAUUUUGAAAAAUAAAGGUCUACAAUAAGUUUGUUGUGA